UGGGAAGAUGAAUGGAAACAGUCAUAGCUUAUCUUUGUAUGGCAGAGUUGUGAGAAUGGAAUCAACACUAAGCUGCAUAGAUACUUGUCUUCAGAAUCUUGAUUUUUAGCCACAAUCCUCACUCCCACCUUCUAUACAACCUGAAAAAGAGCUUUUUGCUAAGAGAAACCCAUUGUCUUCUAAUUAGAUCACCUCUGAAGGCACUUUUAAAAAAUCACUUCUUUUACUAAGUCUGUUACCACUCUCAUCUUUCGAAAAUUUGUUGACAUCUAUUCUCUCCCCUUCUAUUCUCAUUGCCUCAGUGGAAUUUUAUAAUUUUUAUUUCUUUAAAUUUGGGGUGGUUUCUAGACAAAGCAGAAAUAAAGGUAUAUUUCAAUUUUCUAUCAAGGGAUGUGAAGGACCUCUUUAAGGAGAACUGCAAACCACUGACCAAGCAAAUAAGAGAGGACACAAAUAAAUGGAAAAACAUUCCAUGCUCAUGGAUAGGAAGAAUCAAUAUCGUGAAAAUGGCCAUACUGCCCAAAGUAAUUUAUAGUUUAAAUGCUAUCCUGAUCAAGCUACCAUUGACUUUCUUCACAGAAUUGGAAAAAACUACUUUAAAGUUCAUAUGGAAUGAAAAAAGAGCCCAUAUAGCCAAGACAAUCCUAAGCAAAAAGAACAAAGCUGGAGCCAUCAUACUACCUGACUUCAAACUAUACUACAAGGCUAUACUAACCAAAACAGCAUGGUACCGGUACCAAAACAGAUAUAUAGACCAAUGGAACAGAACAGAGGCUUCAGAAAUAAUGCCACACAGCUACAACCAUCUGAUCUUUGACAAAGCUGACAAAAACAAGCAAUGGGGAAAGGAUUCCCUAUUUAAUAAAUGGUAUUGGGAAAACUGGCUAGCCAUAAGCAGAAAACUGAAACUGGAUGCCUUCCUUAUACUUUAUACAAAAAUUAACUCAAGAUGGAUUAAAGACUUAAAGUAAGACCUAAAACCAUAAAAUCCCUUGAAGAAAAUUUAGGCAAUGCCAUUCAGAACACAGGCAUGGGCAAAGACUUCAUGACUAAAACAUCAAAAGCAAUGGCAACAAAAGCCAAAGUUGACAAAUGUGAUCUAAUUAAAGUAAAGAGCUUCUGAAUAGCAAAAGAAACUAUCAUCAGCAUGAACAGGCAACCUAGAGAAUGGGAGAAAAUUUUUGCAAUCUAUACACCUGACAAAGGGCUAAUAUCCAGAAUCUACAAGGAACUUAAACAAACUUACAAGAAAAAAGCAAAAACCCUUUCAAAAAGUGGGUGAAGGGUAUGAACAGACACUUCUCAAAAGAAGACAUUUAUAUGGCCAACAAACAUAAAAAAAAGGUCAUCAUCACUGGUCAUUAGAGAAAUGCAAGUCAAAAUCACAAAGAGAUACCAUCUCACACCAGUUAGAAUGGCAAUCAUUAAAAAAUCAGGAAGCAACAGAUGCUGGAGAGGACAUGCAGAAAUAGGAACACUUUUACAUUGUUGAUGGGAGCGUAAAUUAGUUCAACCAUUGUGGAAGACAGUGUGACGAUUCCUCAAGGAUCUAGAACCAGAGAUAUCAUUUGACCAAGCAAUACCAUUACUGGGUAUAUACCCAAAGGAGUAUAAAUAAUUCUACUUUAAAGACGGAUGCAUAUGUAUGUUUAUUACAGCACUAUUCACAAUAGCAAUGACUUGGAACCAACCCAAAUGCUCAUCAAUGAUAGGCUGGAUGAAGAAAAUGUGGCCCAUAUACACCACUGAAUACUAUGCAGCCAUAAAAAAGGAUAAGUUCAUGUCCUUUGAAAGGACAUGGAUGAAGCUGGAAACCAUCAUUCUCAGCAAGCUAAGACAGGAACAGAAAACCAGAUACCGCAUGUUCUCACUCAUAAGUGGGAGUUGAACAGUGAGAAGACAUGGACACAGAGAGGGGAACAUCACACACCAGGGCCUAGUGGAGGGAUAGCAUUAGGAGAAAUAUCUAAUGUAUAUGAUGGGUUGAUGGGUGCAGCAAACCACCAUGGCACCAUAGGUAUUGUUGUAUACCUAUGUAACAAACCUGCACGUUCUGCACAUGCAUCCCAGAACUUAGAGUAUAUAUAUAUAUAUAUAAAAAUCCUAUUGACCUUAAAAAAAAUCAGAUGAAAUUAGCUCUUUAAAUGUUUUGUCCUAGCUCCCAUCCAUUGUCAUGUUUUCUGUGGCCACGUUUAGGCUUGUUCUCAGAUCUGUAUUUCCAAUCUAAAUCCCAUUUCUAUUCUAUUAUUAUUACUACUACAAAAAUAGUAAUAAAAACAAACAUUUAAAUAAUAUCUAAUAAAUACCAACUAUUCUUCUAAGAACUUGACAUGUAUAAACUCAUUUAAGCUUCAACUCUGUGAAAUAGGGUAUCAGUUAUGUAUUGCCAAAAUAACGCUAUAUAGCAAACUACCCCAAAACAUAAAACUGUAAAAACAUAAUUACAACAAUAGACCUUUUUAUCCUUUCUCACAAGCCACUGUUUUUGCUGAUCUGGGCCAAGUUCAAAAGACAUUGACUUGGCCCACUCACCUGUGGACAGUCAGCUGCCUUGUUGGAUGGGUGCUGGGAGUAUAAGAUGGCCUCAGUUAGGACUGCUUGGCUGUUCUCUAGAAGUUCUCUCAUUUUCACAAUGCUAGCCUGGACUUAUUUCCAUUGCCAUAGGAGGGUUCUAACAGAGAGAAAGAGAGCGGAAGCAGGCAAUGCUUCUUAAAGCCUAGGUUUGGAAUGCACACUGUUACUUCCCACGUAUGGUAUUGGACAGAGCAAGUGAAAACACCUAGUGCCAAGAGUAUGCAUCCAGGAAGGGGUAAAGAACAGGACUAGUUUUGCCAUUUAUUAAGGUAUUAUUAUUAAUCCUUAUUUUAGAAGAAACUGAUAUAUAGAGGAGUUAAGCAACUUGCUCAAGGUCGUGGACUAAUGAAACAAUGGCACUAGUAUUUAAAUACUGUCAGUCUGGUUUCAUUCUGUGCUGUUAACUUCUACAUGGUGCUGUCAACUUCUACAUGGUGCUGUCUCUCAGCUGAAGGAACGAUAGAGGAGGAAAGGCAAAAGGCAACAAUGGGCUUUGAAGUAACUCUACUGAGAUAAUUAAAAGACCACAUAAAAGAAGGAAAACGUAUCUUACUUCAGGAAUUCAACACUAAGAAUCCUACUCCCUUCGUGAAAUCAGAAAAGGUUUGCAUGAACCCUGUGGGCCUUUGAAAGAGAGAAGGCAUACUGUUGAUGGUCACCAACUUACUGAAGCCUGCAGCUUGCAGGAACCCAUCUCAUCAGAGUAACUGAAAGAGAACACAGUAUCCAAAAACAAAAACAACAAAAGUCACGUGCUGGGAUAAGUUCUUGAUAGUGUGAAUAGUCAGAAAAAAAUGUUCUGAAACUUCUUGUCCCAGCUGCGUUAUUAACUGUGAAUUUCAUCAUAUGGUUGAUUAAGUUGCUUUAUAAGACUAAAUUUUUAUAAGAUGUGUACAUAGGAAUAUGACUUCCCUCUCCUAAGUUAACAUAACAGGUAUUCCCAAAUGUGUUGUGAAGUCGACAUUCUUGUUCUAAUUUAUAGUUGUAUUGCUCCCUGCAAUAGCAUCUUCUUUCAUUUCCCAGUCUCCAGUUUUUCCAUUUUGUUUACAGUAGCCAGAGAAAUCUAUCAAGAUGCACACUUGAUCACAGCAUCCUUCGGUAAAUCACCAUUAUCUUCAUACUGACAAAGGUCAGUCUUUAAGGACCUUUAUCAGGUGUCCUCUCUUUAGUUCCCCAACCUAUUUCUUACCAUCCUUUAUCCCCCAGCUAAAUAACUUGGAGAAUUCCAAGUGCGUCAUCCACUGUAUUAGUCUGUUCUCACAUCGCUAACAAAGACAUACCUGAGACUGGGGAAUUUAUAAAGGAAAGAGGUUUAAUGGACUCACAGUUCCGCAGGGCUAGGGAGGCUUCACAAUCAUGGCAGAAGACAAAGCAAGAGCAAAGGGAAGUCUUACAUGGCAGCAGGCAAGAGAGCUUGUGCAGGGGGAACUCCUGUUUAUAAAACCAUCAGAUCUUGGGAGAUGUGUUCAAUACGAUGAGAACAGUGUGGGGGAAACCACCCCCAUGAUGCCAUUAUCUCCACUUGUCUCUGUCCUUGACACAUGGGAAUUAUUAUAAUUCUAGGUGAGAUUUGGGUGGGGACACAGAGCCAAACAAUAUCAUCCACCUUCAUGUCUCUUUCUCUUUACUCACCUGCUUUCUUGACAAGAAAUAUCUUCAUCAGCCCUUCCUUCCUUCCCUCCCUCCCUCCUUUCUUUCUUUCUUGCUUGCUUGCUUUUCCUUCCUUUUUCUUCUUUAUUUCCUUUGCCAAUUUGAGAGAUUGGCAAGGAGAGUAAUGCUGGAAUUGGAGACACAUAUAACUAAUACCAGCCAAAAUAAUUGUGAGCAGAAGUGAUAUGCCUUCUGAGCCAAGGCAGAGAAAAGAUUAUAUGUGAUUCUCAGACCUCUUCUCAUCCUCAUUGGCUAAGAAGGGCAUAGGUCCCAGAUGGAACAGCUAUACGUUAAUGGGGCCUUCCUCCAUUUGGAUCCCUAAGUAACUGAAAUGGAGCCCCUCUCCAACCUGUGAUAAAAUUGUGCUACAAAGGAGAACUCAAUUUUCUUGUGCUAAAAUACUGAGAUUUGGAAAUUAAUGUGUGCUGCAUUAUAACCUAGGUUAUUAUAAAGAUAUUAUUGAAAAUUACUUUUAAUAUUCAUUUUUGUCAUUAUUGGUGAAUUUGAAGUUUCAUAUAAUUAUUGAACACUUAUAUGUCAUUUAUAUAUUUAUUAUACUUAGUUCUUUGGCAAAAUGCUGUUUAUGUCCUUUGCCUAUUUUUCUACUAGACUGUUUAUGUUGAUUUAUAAAACAUAUUUAUAUAUUAGGCUACAGUAACCCUUUCAUGUCAUUGGUACUGUUUCCAAUUUAUUAACUGCCUUUUAUUAUCACUUUAUGAUGUAUUUUAUGUCCAAAGGUUUAAAAAUUAUAUACUGAGUAAUCGAUAAUUAUUUAAAAAUUUUGUUCUUAUUUUAUGAGAAAGGCCUUCUAAAAUCUGAUAGGUUGGUUUUUCUCUGGAUAUACUAUUUUCUAUUUUUUAAAACAUGAAAUUCUAUACUCCAUUAUGAUUUAUGUUGUUGCAUGCUAUCUGGUCGGAAUAUAGCUUUGUAAUGAAUACAUUCGUCUUAAAACUGACUUGGCUUUUUCUCCUAAAUUAAAAAGACAACUCUGAUGA
rnacentral:lncRNA from 1 species